rnacentral:rRNA from 1 species
CCCGUGUGUCGUCGUCGCGACGUCUACGAGAGUAGUGACUCGUGCUAGGACGAACGCUGGCGGCGUGCUUAACACAUGCAAGUCGAACGGGGAUAACGGAGAGGAGAGCUUCGGCAGGAAUCGCUGUUAUUCGAGUGGCGGACGGGUGAGUAACGCGUGAGCAACCUGUCCCAGACAGGGGGAUAACACUUGGAAACAGGUGCUAAUACCGCAUAAGACCACGGGAUCGCAUGGUUCUGGGGUAAAAGGAGAAAUCCGGUUUGGGGUGGGCUCGCGUCCGAUUAGCCAGUUGGCGGGGUAACGGCCCACCAAAGCGACGAUCGGUAGCCGACCUGAGAGGGUGAUCGGCCACAUUGGAACUGAGAGACGGUCCAAACUCCUACGGGAGGCAGCAGUGGGGAAUAUUGGGCAAUGGGCGAAAGCCUGACCCAAGCAACGCCGCGUGAGUGAAGAAGGCCUUCGGGUUGUAAAGCUCUGUUAUAGUUGACGAAGUGCGUGACGGUAGGCUAUAAGGAAGCCCCGGCUAACUACGUGCCAGCAGCAGC